CGGUUUGCUUAUUUAAAACAGAUAAAUCUAGAACAAAAGACAUAUGGGUAUGUCUGGUAGAGAUAAACACUGAUGAUCAAAUUUAACGCACCACUCUAUUUAGUUUAAAAUUAAAUCCAUCAUCUUUCCACAUUAGAUACAGCUCCAGUCAGGCAUUUGAGUGAGUAUGACAGUGUCAGGGUCAUAACAUUAUUAGAGGAAGGAUACAGCCAGCGCGAAGACGUCCCCAGGAGACUAAGCGAAAAUCACUCUCCUAUAGGAAGGGUUCAACGGCGCUUCAGAGACAGGGCUUCACACUAGAAGGUGAUGAGACAGGGUUGAUCUAGAGAUAGAUCCAUCUGUCAUCAGACUCUACGAAACCGCGGCAUUUCGGAAAAUGAGAUAAGAAAUCUGUGAGGACAAGUCCGAAAAGUUUCGAUUUCCUCCAGGGCUGUAAGAAGAAGGCUCUAUGAAAAUAACCUCAGGGCCCGACACCCGGCUCUUGGACCUCUCCUUACCAUAGCUAAGAAAAUGUCCAGGAUUCAAUUCGCACGGAAACACAUGGAUUGGACAUAGAAAGAUUGGGGACGAGUUCUCUUUACAGAUGAGGUGAAAGUCGUCCUCAAAUCUUCAGAUGGGUGUAAUUUCAUAUGGAGACGCUCAGAAGAAAGGUACACCCCAUGAUGUAUGGUUGCUCUGGUGGCAUUUCACGGUGGGAUUGAUGUUCUGGGAUGGCAUUUCCUUGGACACCCCCACUAAAUUGGUUGCUGUACGGGAAAUAUAUCUAACUUCACCCAGGUACUUCAACGCAUAAUCGAAGAACAGGCAGUGUAUUUUGCUCCCCACAUCGGUGAUUCUUUCUAAUCGAGGAUAAUGUCAGGGCCUAUAUAGCACGUGUUGUGGAAUACUUCCUGAAUAAAGGGAAUUGGAAUUUUUCAUAAGACAACAGCAACAAAGCACUUUUUUCUUUUUAUCUAUGUACACCUUAACUACAUAUACUAAAGCCAAUUAUAGUAAGACAUUUUAUUCUUA